UUGAUACUUCUCCAUCAUAUAUCUCACCGUUUAUACUCUCUCUCUCUGUCUUUCUACUUCUCUCUCUCUCAAAUGGAACAGAGAGAAGAGUUCUCAUGGAUGAAAGAAGCGAAACAGAAGUUUCUCCAAGGCAAUAGCGUGAACAUAAACCUCAUGAUGCAUAGAAACUACUGGGUCCGUUGUGCUGAAACACUAAGUUUCUUCUCGGAACUCCAAUUACAUUGAUAGGCUGGUGUUAUCCCAACUUGAGCUCAUUGUCAAUUUUUUUUUUUUUUUUUUAAUUUCUUUCUCCCAUUAAAUGAUUUUUAUUUUCUUGACCUUGUAAGGCCUUUUCUUGACCUUGUAAGACCCCAUCCCUUUCUAAGUGUCUCCUUCUUCUAUCCUUUUACAGAUUUUCUUUUAUCUCUUUUCGGUGUAAGAUAUGUAUGUAUAUCUACCCCUAAUUCGUCCGAGUCAUCUUCUCCUACCUUGUCUAUCCCUCCUGAGCUAAUCCUUACAUCUUUUUGUUAGUCCAUUGAUGUAUGGCUGAUAUAAAUUUCAAAUAAAGAAUUUAGUUUUAACAUUUGUUUGUGUUGGUUGCGUUGUUGUAAUAAAAGUUAAAGGAGGUGAAAAAAAAGUCUCACUAUCGAGGGGACUGGCAAAAGGCAAUGAAUAAGGAAACGGGCAAAAAGAAUUAUGCCUUUACUCUCUAUCUUUAAAGCUUUGGACAGGAAUUUACUUUUGUUUUAUGUGUUGUGUUUGUUUGGGUCUAACUGACCCCAAAGCCAAACCAGAGAACACUCUUAUUAAUUAUUCCCUCAGAACCAUUUAUUGUCUCUUUCUCUCUAUCUCUCUCAUUCACUCGUGACUAUGUUUCUCACUGUCUGUAGUCUGUACUAGUAUAUCCCUUUUACCAAAUAGCAUUCUCUAACUGUGGUUAAACCUAUUGACAGAUGGGUAAGAUUGGAAGUUUUAUACACGGAAAGAGGAGUCAAAUGGAG